ensembl:lncRNA
AUGAAGUGGCACCUUGGAGCUCUCGAGACAGGGUGUCGGCCCUGCCCUGUGACUUCUGCAAGUUCAGGUAUACCAUGCCCACUCUGUAGGACACUGGGAAGAUGCUCAGGCCCUCUCUGCCCUCCCAGAGCUCCCAGCAAGGACCCCCAGGGUGUCUGUGUUGUGAUAAAAGGAGAGAGAAAGGUCUCUUGGAAGCUGGGGUCCCAGUGGAGGCCCAAGGAGGAAAGGAGAUGUCCUGAGAGCACCAGGCGAACGAGCCUGAGCUAAUUUGCCGGAGGGUGAACCCAGGAUCCAGCCCACAGCCAGCUGCCAGACCUGAGUGAGGCCCUCGACUGCCCUCUCAUCACAGAUGUGCACCUAGGUCCAGCUGAGCCCGAGAGAGCUGUCCAUCUGGGCCCAGCCCCACCACAGAUCCACAUAACUGCGACACUCACAGAUUUUUAAAAUAUUUAUUUAUCUGGCUGUGCCAGGUCUUAGAUCUUCGUUGUGGCAUGCAGGAUCUUUAGCUGCCACAUGUGGACUUAGUUGCCACAUGUAGGAUCUAGUUCCUUGACCAAGGGUUGAACCUGAGCGUUGAGAGCUCAGAGUCUUAGCCACUGCACCACCAGUGCGUCGCUUUAGUCAUGUCCGACUCUUUGCAACAUUAUGGACUGUAGCCCACCAGGCUCCUCUGUCCAUAGGAUUCUCCAGAGACGAAUACUGCAGUGGGUUGCCAUGCCUUCCUCCAGGGGAUCUCCCCUACCCGGGAACUGAACCUGCGUCUCUUAUGUCUCCUGCAUUGGCAGGUGGGAUCUUUACCAUUCGUGCCACCUGGGAAGCCUAGGGAAGUCCCAUAAAUUGUUGUUUUAAGCCAUUAAGUUUUGGGGGUAGCUUUUUCGUGCAAAGGUGAACAGCAUUGCUCCUUUAGUCUCUGGAGAGCUGAAGAUGGUCAGACAGGCAGGUCCAGUGCCUCAGCCACAAGGCUAUGCCACAAGCACCCUGGGAAGCCCUGGAGGAUCCCCCACCCCCAGAUCCUGGGUGAGGCCAGUGCGGCUUCACCUUGCACACAGAAUGGAAGGGGUGCCCUGAAACUCAGUAACGUUUUCAUGCAGUUCAGCAAACUAUGGCUCAUGGGCUGUCUGCCUAUUUUUGUAAAUAAAGCUUUAUUGGAAUAGGUGCUGGAUCA